UCAGUUCUUCCAGUGGAGUUGAGGUUUACCUUUGAUCAGGAUAAAUUGGCUCUUUCUCUCUCCGACGGUCGCCUCCGACGUACCAUAACCAUGUCUCAGUGUCAAGACCUAGUGCCUGCUGACCAGCAGCUGAUGAACGACAUGGGGAUGUUCCGAGAUCUGCUCCCGGCCGCAGAGAAGACGGCUCUGCUCUUCCACCUGUCCUACCUGUGUCUGGCCACCCACCCCGAGCUGGAGAGGAAGCUGAGGCUCAA